GCAACAACUGCUAUUUGCAGUGCUGAACUAUUAUUCGGAUGCAUGUACUUGAUUAAAUUGUUUCAAUAAAAUAUUUCUGAACGUCAACAUGCAUGGCAGUGAUGAUAUGGCAGCCAAAAUAUAGCAAGUGUGGCCCAUAUAACUUUUAAAUGAAAGCAUGUCAAAACAAUAAACCUUAUUUUACAUUAAAUUAAUUGCAGCCACACAACUUUGCUGCCCUCAAAAGGUUAAUACAAAUUGGAAAAUGUUAUUUUUCAAUUUGGAAUUUAUUUUCAAGAUAUAUUUACUUUUAUUUCAUAUUUAUUUUAUUGACAAUGCUACUGCUUCAGCAAAUUGUCGCCCAGCAGAAUACAGUACAGAAGAGGGCUGUUGUCCAACCUGCCCACCAGGAAUGUAUGUUAGUAGACAUUGCACAGAAUUCACAAGUACAUCAUGUGCAUCUUGCACAGAAGGUACUUUCCAAGAUGGUGACAAUGGGCGUGAACAAUGCUUUUCAUGUAAACAUUGUGAUGCAGGUCUCGGCCUGAAGGCGAAGAAGUCUUGUUCAUCAACAUCAGAUGCUGUGUGUGAGGUCCUGGAUGAAUUCUUCUGUAGUGACUCUAACAGAGGUGGAUGUAGGGCCGCUCAGAGACACACGGUUUGCAGUCCUGGUCAAUACAUCGGUCAAAGAGGAACAGCAGAUAAAGACACAGAGUGCCCUCACUGUACUGAUGGAACAUUCUCAGAUGGCACAUCAUCGUCUUGUCAGAACCACACAAAAUGUGAAUCUGUGGGACUGAAACUGAUGAGACCAGGAACUGAUUCAACUGAUUCUGAAUGUGGAGAACAUGGUCCACAUGCAGGACUAGUGGCAGGAAUAGUAAUA